CUUCGCUACAUAUUUCUGAUAAGUUUAAUACUUUUACUCUGAUACAUUUUUCAUGAGCUGCAUCGUUACUCGUUACCAUCGACCUUUCUCAAAGCCCCGCCCCCAAUCAUACAUCCUAGAAAGCGUUACUAUGGAAACCAGGUGCUUCUAGCUGCGGCCUCCAACAAGCUACAUGUUGAAGGAUGUGGUUUGUGGGUCGAGUUCUUCCUGAAGCUGGAAACACAACAUGAACGGAUGAAGUGGAUGAAACAGUGCGGAAGGAGCCGCUCCAGCUACACGUCAACACAACAAACACGCUACACGCGUCUGCUCCAAGGACUCACUUUGUUCCCUGAACUGAUGCGACAGUGUUGUGUUGACCAGAUGUCUAAACUGGACCGGACGGACUCGGGUUUAAUUUGAAAGACAAAUGAGAGGUGACGUCUGGAGGUCUAGCGUCCACCAGGAGAGGGCUGCAGAGGAGGAGGAACGUCCCACUGAGUCCACGCCGCCUGUAAUGAGACGCUGCAGAGAGGAACUACCGCCUGGAUGAAUGACAGCAUGAAGCCAUUCGCUGGAGGACGAAGGACGACUUCGCCGAGGUGAGGCAGAGAGUUGUCAAUCUGACUCUGGCUCCACCGUCAGGACAAAGCUUUCUGGCACCAACACAAUGAAUUACAAUGGUUUUAUAAAAAGCUUGAAAGGAAACGAGCCUGACUUUCUUUUCCUGCUCUGAACGUCAAUGCAAAUCAUCAAACCCAGGGAUUAAAGGGGCCGAGCUGCAGACGAUGAAAAGCAGAAUAUUUACCAGCUUUCGUUUUGUGUAGAUCAGCUGAUCCUUAAUUGAGGUCUGGAAGGUGAAACAACCAGUGAGGAGUCAUAAAGAAUGACCUCUAGUUUGAGUUGUGUUAAUAAUCCACUUACAGCCAGUUUAUGUACAUAGCUUAUGUACAGUAAUGGAUGUGGGUCAUUAGGACACUUCAGUUUCUUUUGUAACGGCGGCUCUAACCUCUGGUGGUGUCAUAUUCAGGAGGAAGAUGUCUGAAGUGGAAAAUCACAGGUUAUUUACGCAAAUAAAUCAAAUUGUACUUUCAAAAUGAAAAACCUGCACGAGUAUCGAUUCGUUUCCUGUCAUCCCAUUAUUUGGCAACACAACAAGCUCUCAUUGUGAAAGGAUCAGGCUCCUUUGACGGCUCGUGGUAUUCAGAGUAGAGGCGGUUUUAACUGAACCCCUUACGAUAAGAGUGAACGGACUGAAAGCG